rnacentral:misc_RNA from 1 species
CAACCCUCAAGCAAUGCUUGGUAUUUUGGGCUUCGCUACUCACUUAGCGGGCCUUAAAAUCAGUGGCGGUGCCGUCGGGGCUCUGAGCGUAGUAAAUAUCCUCGCUACAGAGACUUGGUGGACGCUGGCCAUUAACCCUCACUUUCUAA